rnacentral:rRNA from 1 species
UACGGAAGGCAGCAGGGGGAAUAUUGCACAAUGGGCGCAAGCCUGAUGCAGCCAUGCCGCGUGUAUGAAGAAGGCCUUCGGGUUGUAAAGUACUUUCAGCGGGGAGGAAGGCGAUGUGGUUAAUAACCGCAUCGAUUGACGUUACCCGCAGAAGAAGCACCGGCUAACUCCGUGCCAGCAGCCGCGGUAAUACGGAGGGUGCAAGCGUUAAUCGGAAUUACUGGGCGUAAAGCGCACGCAGGCGGUCUGUCAAGUCGGAUGUGAAAUCCCCGGGCUUAACCUGGGAACUGCAUUCGAAACUGGCAGGCUAGAGUCUUGUAGAGGGGGUAGAAUUCCAGGUGUAGCGGUGAAAUGCGUAGAGAUCUGGAGGAAUCCGGUGGCGAAGGCGGCCCCUGGGACAAGACUGACGCUCAGGGUGCGAAAGCGUGGGGAGCAAACG